AGAAAGAAGGUCGCUGCUUAGGUUGCCGAGAAUACUUAACUUUUAAUACUCAAUCAUAUUUGGACAAAGUUCGCUAUCUGUACUAAUGUGAAACUUUCCCAGCUACAACUUUGCUCAAGAUCGCCUUUUGAAAGAACUUCAAGAAAAUUAUUUAGUCGAGUAUUAGUAUAAGACACUGCCGAAGUAGUGGAAUUAAAUGGAAAUUACUAAUCCUUCUCUUUUUUCUUUAUACAGGUACUAUAGACGCCCACCUUCAUUAGGAACCCAAAGUUCGAAAACCUGUCAACUGUGUGUGUUAAUGCAUCAUAUUAAUGCUUCAAAACAGCAAUGUGAACCGAUGUCAUGUAUGUAUUUAUAAUUGACAUCGAAUGUGAACAAGCAUCUACGUAUUCAACUGUGUAAUGUAAUAAUGUGAAACAGAAUGCCCGAAAAUGUACGAAAAUUUUGGUUACCAUAAGUCCACGCUAUUUCUUAACAGUCAAAAAUAGUGCUACCCAGAUUUGAAUAAACAAAGUUGGAACUGACAAGAUGGCAAAUGAACAACAUCAUUCGGAUUCAGGACGAUGUUGUCCAUUCGUCCAACUUUGUUUACCCAAGUUUGUCUAGCCCUACUUUUGAAUAUCGUAACGGUCUUAGUCACUGAGGUAACGGGUCGGGAAUGUAAAAACGGUCGCUCACUGCUGCGCGUUUAUAUUCGGUGUUUGAUGGUCAACUCGUCGGUUUCAGUUUGCUCCGACUACGCAAGUGCUAUAUUUUUGGUUAGCUUUUUAUUUUUAUUUUGGGAGUAAAAAAAGUUAAGAUAGUGAAAAAUUAGAAUGAAGCAUUGAUAGAAGAAUACAAGUGUUCAGUUUUUAGUUCAGCGGCGCUCAUGUACCGCUUUCCGGGAACCCGGUUCACCG